UUUCUAAUUUCUUUGUUCAAUUUAUUUCUUUUUUUAUUUAAAAUUUCCAGUAAAAACUAUUGCAGUUCGACAAUUAAAAUAUAAACACUUUGAGUGAUAGUUAAAGUAAUUCAUCAUAAUGGUGUAAUUAUAAAAAUGAUUAUAGACACAAAUAAGAAAGAGAAACAUAAUUAGUGUAUAUAAUAAUACAAAUAAAUAGGAGUUAAUGUGUCUUGAUUACUUGUUUAUUAAUAUGGCAGAUAGAAAUUAGUUAAUAAUAGAGGUUAGGUAAAUCGGAGAGGAAUUUUGAAAAAUCUAAAUUAAGAUUUGAAUUUUGUGGAUUAAUGUGAGGUUCAGAGCCGCAAGUAGGAGAGGCAUAUGUCGGGAAAAAUUGAAGAAAGUUGUUGGGGAGGGACUCAGGGAAUACGUUUUUUGUCUGCGAGGUACUUAUAUGAGAGUUGGAGGACUUGAUUUUGGGGCUAUUUAGAAUGGAUUGGGAGACUUAGGCACAUCUUGAAACUGGCCGUAUGACUCUGGGAACUGCGGACGCCUUAAGCUGGACUGGACCGAUCCUUGGUGCAGAAAUCUAACUCGUGAGACUCACCACAUUUGACGCAGCGAGAUGGAUGAUGGCAGUAAUUCAUCGUGUGACCAUAGUCUUCACAAUUGAAACAUUGCGGUGGACCAUAAGAACUUGUCUCACUAUGUGUCCUUCUUCCGACAAUGCAUACGAAAUGUCAGCAUGGAAGUUUCUGAUAACGAUCCUAAAAGGACGCUAAAUGCGAGGACGAAAAGUAUGAAAACUAGUGUUAUUUUUUAUCAAAUAUUUAGUCAAAGCGUUGAAAUUAUAGAGACCAUACUAUAAGACGGGCGAUAAGGUAUGAAGCAGACGCAGUGGACUUACAUGUGAACCCGUUGGGGAAGGCGGUCUUAAUUAAUACAUUUUGGUCUUUCUCUCCACGUGAAGAGGAGAAUUUGAAGUAUGGAUAAUAUUAGUUUUGAUGAAGUAGACGUAAGCGGCGGACUUUUAUCAGAACGAACUAUAAUAUUUUUUUUUAUUGAAUAUAGUAUAUACGUGGAAAACACUGAACCAAGUAUAAAAUUAAAAUAAAGAUAACGGAGCGAACGUGACCGCGUGUGUUCAUAAUGAACGUUAUAGCCGAACUGGUUCAAUUUAUGACUUGUGACAAAUCAGAAAUUAAACAUUGAAAACAUGACAAAUUUUAUUUAUUGUAUGUGGUGGAAGAAUUUCAGUUUAUUUUAAGUAAGGAGACAUUUAUAAGUGUCUACAGUAAUUUCAUAAUUAUCCUGCAUUAUACUCUGAAUUUAAAAUGAAGAAGUGAUAUUAUAAUAUAUUAAACACUUAUAAUUAUAUACUAAUGAAGUAUUGUUGUUUGUCUAUAAAGUAUGCAUCAAGAAUAAAAAUGCAAUACCAAACUUGUUGAAGUUUCUGUAUACAUGAGUAUAUUUUUAUAA